GAGACAGUACUGUCCGUAUUUCAAAAUACGGCCAGUAUUUAACUAGGCCGAAAAAUUAUUUUUUCCAGAACAGUAUAUAUUCGUCCAUAUCAGUUCAAAUCAUUAUUUUUCAUUCCUUCAAGCCCUAGAACGACUUCCUACCCUCUUCCAUCAUCAAGAACACCAAGGGUUUUCAACAAAACCCAUCUCAAGGUUCAAGAAUUCAAGAUUUUGGAAAUCUUCUUCAAAGCUCAAGUCUUUAAUUCAAGUUUUGGAGCGACUAAGGGUUUUCAACAAAACCCAUCUCAAGGUUCAAGAAUUCAAGAUUUUGGAAAUCUUCUUCAAAGCUCAAGUCUUUAAUUCAAGUUUUGGAGCGACUAAGGUAUGUAGAGUUACUAUCUACGUGUGGGAACAUCAUUGUUCUUCCCCACGCCUCAUAAUCCAUAAAAUUAUGAUUCUCUACUAAAACUAGGAUUUCAAUACCAUGCUCAUGAUAACCCUAGGUCCAUGUCCAUGAUUAUAUUAUGUAUGAAUUGUUAUAAUUUCAUCAUUGAGUUCUUAAUAUUUCUUUAUGAUUAUUGAGAAUCCGUCCGUAAUCUAUGAAAACCCAUAUCUUGUAUUCCAUGGGUUCUUGCAUGCAUGUUUUUGACUAAGAAUGAUGGUUUCAUGAAUAUCCUACAUGUCUACAAGUUUUCAUGCAACUGUAUUAUAUAAUUACUUUCAUGCUAUGAUACAAGAUACAUACAUACUAGAUACAAGUUAUUUCAUGAAACCAUAUUUACAAGUUAUUUCAUGAAACCAUGCUUACACGUUAUUUCAUGAAACUAUGUUUACAAGUUAUUUCAUGAAACCAUGUUUACAAGUUAUUUCGUGAAAUCAUGAUUACAAGACAAGUACAAGUUAAUUCACGAAAAUCAUGGGCUUCUUAGCUAAUUAUAUUAUGUUCAUAUUUUUGGGAGUUGCACGAAUUACCGAGAAGGCUCAGAUAGCCUGAAACUACGUAGCCACCGUAGGACAAGGAUCGCUCCGCCCAGUUAAGACGAUACCUUAAUUUUACACUGAAUGGAUCCAUCAGACACGUUACCACCUUAUACCCUGGCAAGGUAUAGGGGCUCUGCUAGUCCGGCGAGGUACCAGACUCCACGUAUCCACGCGGUGAUAUCAUGUGUCGGUUUAUGAAAUGCUCUCCUACUUAUCAUGUUUUACUUAUGUUAUAUAUAUAUAUAUAUAUAUAUAUAUAUAUAUUUGUCAUGUCUACCUCCGUUAGUCCUAUUAUUGAUUUCUUCAUGUCUGACCAUCUAUCGUCGUAAAUCACUAUUAGUAGAAAAACCAGUUGCAGCCAUGCAAAUGGAUGGAACACAUAACAUAUAUAGACAUUAUGUUCAUAAGGCCUACAUUAGCUUUAUAAAUACAUACAUAUAUAUAUAUAUAUAUA